GUGGGGAAUAUUGGACAAUGGGGGGAACCCUGAUCCAGCCAUGCCGCGUGUGUGAAGAAGGCCUUUUGGUUGUAAAGCACUUUAAGCGAGGAGGAGGCUACCGAGAUUAAUACUCUUGGAUAGUGGACGUUACUCGCAGAAUAAGCACCGGCUAACUCUGUGCCAGCAGCCGCGGUAAUACAGAGGGUGCAAGCGUUAAUCGGAUUUACUGGGCGUACAGCGCGCGUAGGUGGCCAAUGAAGUCAAAUGUGAAAUCCCCGAUCUUAACUUGGGAAUUGCAUUCGAUACUGGUUGGCUAGAGUAUGGGAGAGGAUGGUAGAAUUCCAGGUGUAGCGGUGAAAUGCGUAGAGAUCUGGAGGAAUACCGAUGGCGAAGGCAGCCAUCUGGCCUAAUACUGACACUGAGGUGCGAAAGCAUGGGGAGCAAACAGGAUUAGAAACCCUAGUAGUCC
rnacentral:rRNA from 1 species